rnacentral:rRNA from 1 species
GAUUAACGCUGGCGGCGUGCUUAACACAUGCAAGUCGAACGAAGCAUAAGAGACAGAAUACUUCGGUAGGAAGACUUUUAUGACUGAGUGGCGGACGGGUGAGUAACGCGUGGGGAACCUACCUCAUACAGGGGGAUAACAGUUAGAAAUGGCUGCUAAUACCGCAUAAGCGCACAGUACCGCAUGGUACAGUGUGAAAAACUCCGGUGGUAUGAGAUGGACCCGCGUCUGAUUAGCUAGUUGGUGAGGUAAAGGCCCACCAAGGCGACGAUCAGUAGCCGACCUGAGAGGGUGAACGGCCACAUUGGGACUGAGACACGGCCCAA